rnacentral:rRNA from 1 species
UACGGAGGGUGCAAGCGUUAUCCGGAUUCACUGGGUUUAAAGGGAGCGUAGGUGGGCUGGUAAGUCAGUGGUGAAAUCCCCGAGCUUAACUUGGGAACUGCCAUUGAUACUAUUAGUCUUGAAUACUGUGGAGGUUAGCGGAAUAUGUCAUGUAGCGGUGAAAUGCUUAGAUAUGACAUAGAACACCAAUUGCGAAGGCAGCUGGCUACACAAUUAUUGACACUGAGGCUCGAAAGCGUGGGGAUCAAACAGG